rnacentral:rRNA from 1 species
GAUGAACGCUGGCGGCGUGCCUAAUACAUGCAAGUCGAGCGAACAGACGAGGAGCUUGCUCCUCUGACGUUAGCGGCGGACGGGUGAGUAACACGUGGAUAACCUACCUAUAAGACUGGGAUAACUUCGGGAAACCGGAGCUAAUACCGGAUAAUAUAUUGAACCGCAUGGUUCAAUAGUGAAAGACGGUUUUGCUGUCACUUAUAGAUGGAUCCGCGCCGCAUUAGCUAGUUGGUAAGGUAACGGCUUACCAAGGCGACGAUGCGUAGCCGACCUGAGAGGGUGAUCGGCCACACUGGAACUGAGUCACGGUCCAGACUCCUACGGGAGGCAGCAGUAGGGAAUCUUCCGCAAUGGGCGAAAGCCUGACGGAGCAGCGCCGCGUGAGUGAUGAAGGUCUUCGGAUCGUAAAACUCUGUUAUUAGGGAAGAACAAAUGUGUAAGUAACUAUGCACGUCUUGACGGUACCUAAUCAGAAAGCCACGGCUAACUACGUG